GCUUCGGCAUGUGUUCUCCAGCUGGCAGAUGUAGCAGUAUAAGCAUAACUGAACUGAAUAGACAGAGGAAAAAGUGAUUGAUGUAGCGUCCUUCCAGUACUGCCUAAGCUGCACACAGGGCAAGCAGCUUCCUUUCAAUUGCGGUUCUUGUUCAAACAGAUCUGGCUGUCCAGCUUUGUCUUAGUCUGCAGGAAACUCUUCUUAGUUCCUGGAAUUUUGAAAUACAUAUAUAGGAAAAUGCCUCAUACAGUUUCUAGGAACACACACUCUCCCUGAGAGACACUUAAAGGUUCUGCUGGAAUCCUUGAGGCCACUAUGCAGAUAAAAGAGAAUAAUCCUGAAGAAAGAAUGCCAGUGAGAAUGCAGGCUGGUUUUUCAGCAGUCCAAACAAAUAGUGUGGAAAGGAAGUUGAAAAGAAACCAGCGGGCAAAGUUUGCUUCUCAUCCAUUUUUAGCAUUCAGUUAAAUCACUAUUUGGAAGCCAAAAAUCUCUUGAAAGUGGAGGGACACAAAGAACAGGAAACCCACAGCUUGUUCAACCAAGCUCUGUUAUCUAGAACGUCCUUGAUGUUUUCCCCAACUUCAAUGUUUUUGUUCAGUUGCACUCUAUGCUCUCUGAGAUUGAAAAAAAAAACAUGUAAAGAAAAACUUAAACGAAAUUUUGCUUAGAACCCCAGCAAAUUCAUAAUAGUGAAGGCUAUUCUUUUCUUUCAAUAAAGCUGGUUCAGUCCUA